GUUGAAACACCGGUUCUCGUACGAUCACCGAAGUUAAGCAAAACCUAACCUAGUCAGUAGCAAGAUGGGUUACCGCUUGGGUAUACCAGUUGCUGUAAG